UUUUUAUUAUAUACAUACAUGUAUUUUUAAUACAACAAACGAUCCAGAAACAGAUUUUAAAAAAGCAAAGAGAAAACAGUUCAUUUUUGAGUUGUAAUACAGGAAAAUACUUUUAAAAAUAAAGAGGAGAAAUUAUACCUGUGAUUUGCCUGGAAAGGGGAGAAAUUUAGAACCUCCAACCCCAUGUACGAUGGCGCGUGAGGCGCGUGAAC
rnacentral:lncRNA from 1 species